rnacentral:rRNA from 1 species
CUACGGGCGGCUGCAGUGGGUAAUAUUGCACAAUGGGGGAAACCCUGAUGCAGCGACGCCGCGUGGAGGAAGAAGGUCUUCGGAUUGUAAACUCCUGUCUUCGGGGACGAUAAUGACGGUACCCGAGGAGGAAGCCACGGCUAACUACGUGCCAGGCAGCCGCGGUAAAACGUAGGUGGCAAGCGUUGUCCGGAAUUACUGGGUGUAAAGGGAGCGCAGGCGGAACGGCAAGUUGGAUGUGAAACCUAUGGGCUCAACCCAUAGCCUGCAUCCAAAACUGCCAUUCUUGAGUAGUGCAGAGGUAGGCGGAAUUCCCGGUGUAGCGGUGGAAUGCGUAGAUAUCGGGAGGAACACCAGUGGCGAAGGCGGCCUACUGGGCACCAACUGACGCUGAGGCUCGAAAGUAUGGGUAGCAAACAGGAUUAGAUACCCGCGUAGUC